GACGUUUAGCUGCAGAAGAAGCACCGGCUAACUCCGUGCCAGCAGCCGCGGUAAUACGGAGGGUGCGAGCGUUAAUCGGAAUUACUGGGCGUAAAAGCGCAUGCAGGUGGUUUGUUUAAGUCAGAUGUGAAAGCCCGGGGCUCAACCUCGGAAUUGCAUUUGAAACUGGCAGACUAGAGUACUGUAGAGGGGGUAGAAUUUCAGGUGUAGCGGUGAAAUGCGUAGAGAUCUGAAGGAAUACCGGUGGCGAAGGCGGCCCCCUGGACAGAUACUGACACUCAGAUGCGAAAGCGUGGGGAGCAAACAGGAUUAGAUACCCUGGUAG
rnacentral:rRNA from 1 species